UCUGUGAUGGCCGAGUGGUUGGACUUGUGGUUGGACUUGAAAUCCAAUGGGGUCUCCCCGCGCAGGUUCAAACCCUGCUCACAGCA